UUAGAGUUUGAUCCUGGCUCAGAUUGAACGCUGGCGGCAGGCCUAACACAUGCAAGUCGAGCGGUAGAGAGAAGCUUGCUUCUCUUGAGAGCGGCGGACGGGUGAGUAAUGCCUAGGAAUCUGCCUGGUAGUGGGGGAUAACGUUCGGAAACGGACGCUAAUACCGCAUACGUCCUACGGGAGAAAGCAGGGGACCUUCGGGCCUUGCGCUAUCAGAUGAGCCUAGGUCGGAUUAGCUAGUUGGUGAGGUAAUGGCUCACCAAGGCUACGAUCCGUAACUGGUCUGAGAGGAUGAUCAGUCACACUGGAACUGAGACACGGUCCAGACUCCUACGGGAGGCAGCAGUGGGGAAUAUUGGACAAUGGGCGAAAGCCUGAUCCAGCCAUGCCGCGUGUGUGAAGAAGGUCUUCGGAUUGUAAAGCACUUUAAGUUGGGAGGAAGGGUUGUAGAUUAAUACUCUGCAAUUUUGACGUUACCGACAGAAUAAGCACCGGCUAACUCUGUGCCAGCAGCCGCGGUAAUACAGAGGGUGCAAGCGUUAAUCGGAAUUACUGGGCGUAAAGCGCGCGUAGGUGGUUUGUUAAGUUGGAUGUGAAAUCCCCGGGCUCAACCUGGGAACUGCAUUCAAAACUGACUGACUAGAGUAUGGUAGAGGGUGGUGGAAUUUCCUGUGUAGCGGUGAAAUGCGUAGAUAUAGGAAGGAACACCGGUGGCGAAGGCGACCACCUGGACUAAUACUGACGCUGAGGUGCGAGAGCGUGCGCAGCAACAGGAUCACAUACCCUGGUAUACCACGCCGUGGACGAUGUCUACUAGGCGUUGGAACCCCUUGAGCUUUUAGUGCGCAGCUAACACAUUAAGUUGACCGCCUGCGGGAGUACCGUCGCUAGGCUAAUUCUCAUAUGAAGUGAAUGGCGGCGCCACAGCUGUGCAUCCUGCUUAUUUAAUUCAAAUCCACGCGGACGAGCGUUACAGACCUUGACUACAAAUGACCUUCAAUACAAUAAUUGGAGGCGCGGCGACAUAACAAGGGCAUGCGUCCUUUCGCGGCGAUGCUAGAUGGAGAAUAUAGCUACCGUCACGAGUUGCUUGUCUAACAAUCUAGAACGUGCUCCGGGCG
rnacentral:rRNA from 1 species